AAAUCUAUGCCAUGAGAAUCAGCGAAGAAAUCAGGACUUCCUGGCAAUUCCGGAGAUGACAAAAGUAAUGGCUUCGAAAGAACCAGCUCAUCCAGCAGCAGUGAUGCUCCUCUCACCAUGAAGUGUUUGCUUUGACAGAGCUGAGAACCCCUCCAGGCAUCCCAGGGAACGGUGAAAACCAGUUUAAAUGAUCAGCUCAAGGUGCAGGGUCUGAAACUCACCCGGA